UCGGAGACUGGUAAGACUCACGUAGAGAGAAAGGGGUGGAACUGAAUUCAAAAACAAAUUCUUCCACCUGUAAGCACAGGGCAUUUUCCACUAAUCAGCCCACUAACCAGAGAAACCUGAUUUAUCCAAACAUUUAAAAUGACGCCAUGGCCGUUUGAGUGAAACCAAUUUUGGCCUAUACUUUUGAUUCCUCAUUACCAGCCUGCCAUUGGUUAUCUGAUAUGGGCAGCAGACUUCAGACAUAAUGAAGUCUAACAGAACCUCUCAUUGUGCAGAUACAGUAGUAACAGAGGUGGUCAUAUAGUUUGGAUGUUUGGCCCCUCCAAGUGUCAUGUUGAAAUGUGGCCCCCAGUGCUGGAGGUGGGGCCUGCUGGGAGGGAGGUGUUUGGCUCAUGGGGCAGAUCCUUCAUGAAUGUCUUGGUGCCUCCUGACGGUAAUGGCUGAAUUCUUGCUGUCCUCACUCACUGAGAUCUGGUUGUUAAAGUGUGGUACUGCCCCCGUCUCUCUCUUGCUUCCUCUCUCACCAUGUUAGGUGCCAGCUCCCCUGUGCCUUCUGCCAUGAUUCCAAGCUCCCUGAGGCCUCACAAGAAGCAGAUGUUGGUGCCAUGCUUCCCGGGCAGUCUGUACAACCAUGAGUCUAAUCACCCUCAUUUCCCUGUAAAUUACGCAGCCUCAGUUUUAAACCAGAGUGAGAUGCACAUCUCAAGAAAUCAGCUCAGAAAUUGCAAAGGCAGAAAAAAGAUCUCACCUUUUUAUAUAACAAGGAGAUACAACUUUUAACGUACAGAUCCUCAAGGGAAAGAUUGUGGAGACCGGAAGCCCAGGAGAAUGUCAAUGUAGACACUCACCCUCUGUAGCCCCAUCCCCUCCACCUGGAUUGGAUUGUCCCAGAGACUGGAGGGAAUUCCCUAUGGGAAAAUGUAAGCAGAAAAAUUCUAUCAGCCUUCAUUGUCACCACAAAUACCUACAGUUCUUACCACAGAAGAAUUCCACGGUCCCUGCAAGCCCUGAGUCCAGUUGGGAGUGCUAACAGGAGUUCACACAGCUGCACUGUUCUGGAUCAGCAACAUCAAAUGUAUACUUUCCGCUGCCCCAUCACCCCUUGUAAGCCAAGCUGCUGCAGCUCAGCACCAUCAUAAGACAAGAGCUACCUCUGGAGUGUGUUCUGGUCUGGGGUCCAGUAGCCACUGCACCUCUUCAGCACUGGGGCUUCAUUUUCAUUAUUCCAAGCCCACACAGGUGGCUAAGUAACACCACCCUAGGUGUGCAGAGCCGGAGCCCAGGAUUGCCUAGGAGUCUGUCCUUCACAGCAGAGGAACCAACUCCCACUGCCAUCACAUCUACUGGAAGAAGAGUCUGGCAGUCUUGUCCAGGGCAAAGCUUUCCUUGAAGCAGCCAAACUGUUGCAUGUUUUUCCCAAAGUAGGAAAUGGUUGUGAGUCGCCGAGCAGCUGACAUACCUCUGGGAGAGCACAGCAACUACACACACAUGUUCAGGGCUUCAGGAGGCAUCUGCUGCACCACCUCUUGCAAACACAUGCCCAGGCUAAUCAAGAGCUGGGCACCUAAAUCUCACACAUAAAAAGCAGCCACAAAGGCUGUUCCUGGGAGAGGCACCUCCAGACCAGACUUGCAGUUAUAACUCCACAUUUCAUGAUUGAAAAACAUCCCUGCAGGCCACCCCAAGAGGUAUGGCUGGGCAUCUCUGUGCCUGUGUCACAGGCCUCAGAAAAAACCUUGUGGUCCACCUCCAUCAGAUAUAUUCAGAAGCCAGCCAAGAAGUUGUGCAAUUAUGUUCUGAGCCUGAGAAACAUCCCCAUCUGAACCCCCAGGACAACUAAGCAGCUGUGUGCCUGUGUGCUGGGCCUAAUACACAGGCCAAUAAACUG
rnacentral:lncRNA from 13 species